rnacentral:rRNA from 1 species
GACAGAGGAGCCAAGCGUUGUCCGGAUUUACUGGGCGUAAAGCGCACGCAGGCGGCCGUGCACGUGGGGUGUGAAAGCUGGCGGCUUAACUGCCAGACGCCACCUCAUACGGCACGGCUCGAGCCCGUGAGAGGUCCACGGAAUUGCCGGUGUAGUGGUGAAAUGCGUAGAGAUCGGCAGGAACACCCAGGGGGAAACCAGUGGACUGGCACGGUGCUGACGCUCAGGUGCGAAAGCGUGGGGAGCGAACCGG